CCUACGGGAGGCAGCAGUGAGGAAUAUUGGUCAAUGGUCGCGAGCCUGAACCAGCCAAGCAGCGUGAGGGAGGACUGCCCUGCGUGUCGUAAACUUCUUUUGUCAGGGAAUAAAGUCAGGGACGCGUGCCUGUUUGAAUGUACUUUAUGAAUAAGCAUCGGCUAACUCCGUGCCAGCAGCCGCGGUAAUACGGAGGAUCCGAGCGUUAUCCGGAUUUAUUGGGUUUAAAGGGAGCGUAGACGGUUUGUUAAGUCAGUUGUGAAAGUCUGCGGCUCAACCGUAAAAUCGCCAUUGAUACUGGCAGUCUUGAGUACAGGUGAGGUAUGCGGAAUUCGUGGUGUAGCGGUGAAAUGCAUAGAUAUCGCGAAGAACUCCGAUUGCGAAGGCAGCAUACUAACUCGCCACUGACAUUGAUGCUCGAAAGUGUGGGUAUCAAACAGGAUUAGAUACCCCAGUAGUC
rnacentral:rRNA from 1 species